rnacentral:lncRNA from 1 species
CAUGGAUGUUAGCUCAGGGCCAGUCUUCCUCAGCAAAAAGAGGAGGGUUGGUGGCAGAUGUUAGCUCAGGGCUAAUCUUCCUUAAAAAAAAACACCUGGUAAGAAUGAAAGCUAACUCAAAGAAUUGUGGAGAAAGAUCAAAUAACCAUGCAUGCCUCAACGGCUUGUGAUCUGGUCUGUGAGCUUGGGAGGCAGAAGGCCACCAUUUGUAUUCUGACCUCAUGGUUUACAAGCUGCAUGAACUUGAGCAAGUUUCUGAGCCUCAGUUACGUCAUCCGUAAAAUGAAAAUAGUACUAGCAUAUUCUCCAGGGCAGUGGUGUGGAACUUAAAUGAAAGGACGGUGCGCCUGGCAAGUUUGGGGGAUUACAAACAAUGUGGCUCUGAACAUCCUGUUAACUGUCUCCUCCCAGCCACGUACAGGUUUCCACCGGAGUUUGGGCACAGCAAGCCAACCUUUACCAAGUGCUAACCGUGUGCCAGGCGCGGUGUUAAAUGUUUUCCAAGUGUGCCUUCAUUUAAUCCUCAACACAAGAAAAUGAAUUUGGAAUUAUUAUCAUCCCCAUUUUACAGCUGCGGAAAUUGAGGCUUAGAGAGACUAAAUAACUCGCUUAAAAUAUCACUCCAGGCCAGAUGUGCUGACUCCCAAGCGUCAGUGCCGACCUGUUCCCAGGCCCUGUCUGGAGAUUGAGACGCGUCUUGAAGUGACUUCAGGCCCCUCUUCUCAGACUCUCGGAUUUUUUUUCUGGCUUCUCACUCCUAUCCACGGCAUGUGAUGAACAUUCUUGUAGGAAGAUCUUUGCCUACAUCGUGAUGGCUUCUUCGGGAUCAAUUCCUUGACAUGGAUGACGCGAUGUUUGGGGCUGUUUUUUUUGGAAAUGAGGAGAAACAGAGGACCCCAGCCCAGCUGGAGGCUGGACACGAGGGAGAGGCAGGCAACCCUCCGGGAAGUGGGCGCGACUGGAAAGCCAGGAUGCCUGACUAAUCCACAGAGCACGCCGCCUCGGUUUAUCUGAGCACUGCUUUCCUGUGCCCCUCGGGCUCGCCCAGAAGCCCUUAGGAAUCUAGUUUAUUUCCAUCCUGGUUUUGCUGACUUGACUGAAGUUCUUGCUCUGUGGAUCGGCUGCAAGACACAGGCUCUCUCACACACACGCACGUGCACACUGACCUCCAGAAAUCAAGCAUG